rnacentral:snRNA from 1 species
AGAGAAAAUGUAGAAAGUUUCU